UAAAAAUAAGCAAUGAAUGAAUAUUCUUAAUUGAAAAGUAAUUUCCAAGUACAUUGCUGGAAAAUCAGGUUUUCUGAUUGGAAGAAGGCAAGCCCAGAACAAUUACUCACGAGACACACAACAGGACAGUUUCCUCUGCGUGAGAAUAAUUCUCCUUUACCUCCAGAUUGACUGAUCCAGUCAUUGAUCCAAAUGUAUCUGGACUGACUGGUGCAAAGAUUCAGCACAAUUACUAGUCCCCAGCAGAG
rnacentral:lncRNA from 11 species